GAUGAACGCUGGCGGCGUGCCUAAUACAUGCAAGUCGAGCGAACAGAUAAGGAGCUUGCUCCUUUGACGUUAGCGGCGGACGGGUGAGUAACACGUGGGUAACCUACCUAUAAGACUGGAAUAACUCCGGGAAACCAGGGCUAAUGCCGGAUAACAUUUAGAACCGCAUGGUUCUAAAGUGAAAGAUGGUUUUACUAUCACUUAUAGAUGGACCCGCGCCGUAUUAGCUAGUUGGUAAGGUAACGGCUUACCAAGGCAACGAUACGUAGCCGACCUGAGAGGGUGAUCGGCCACACUGGAACUGAGACACGGUCCAGACUCCUACGGGAGGCAGCAGUAGGGAAUCUUCCGCAAUGGGCGAAAGCCUGACGGAGCAACGCCGCGUGAGUGAUGAAGGUCUUCGGAUCGUAAAACUCUGUUAUUAGGGAAGAACAAAUGUGUAAGUAACUGUGCACGUCUUGACGGUACCUAAUCAGAAAGCCACGGCUAACUACGUG
rnacentral:rRNA from 1 species